UACGAAGGGGGCGAGCGUUGUUCGGAAUUACUGGGCGUAAAGGGCGCGCAGGCGGCCGAUCAAGUCAGGCGUGAAAGCCCCGGGCUUAACCUGGGAAUUGCGCUUGGGACUGAUGGGCUGGAGUUCGGGAGAGGAGAGUGGAAUUCCCAGUGUAGAGGUGAAAUUCGUAGAUAUUGGGAAGAACACCGGUGGCGAAGGCGGCUCUCUGGACCGAUACUGACGCUGAGGCGCGAAAGCGUGGGGAGCAAACAGG
rnacentral:rRNA from 1 species